AACGAACGCUGGCGGCGCGUUUUAAGCAUGCAAGUCGAACGGCAGUCCGGGUAGCAAUACCUGGGCGAGAGUGGCGAACGGGUGAGUAACACGUAGGUGAUCUACCCCUGGAUGGGGGAUAGUCCGUGGAAACACGGGGUAAUACCGCAUGAGGCCUUGGGGGUAAAGCCCUGAGGUGAAAGCUCCAAUUGGAGCGUCUGGGGAUGAGCCUGCGGCCCAUUAGGCAGUUGGCGGGGUAAUGGCCCACCAAACCGACGAUGGGUAGCCGGCCUGAGAGGGUGUACGGCCACACUGGAACUGAGACACGGUCCAGACUCCUACGGGAGGCUG
rnacentral:rRNA from 1 species